GAGUGAACGCUGGCGGCGGUGCUUAACACAUGCAAGUCGAGCGAAGCACGUUUGAAUUUUCGGAAUGAGAAGUGACUGAGCGGCGGACGGGUGAGUAACGCGUGGGUAACCUGCCUCAUACAGGGGGAUAACAGUUAGAAAUGACUGCUAAUACCGCAUAAGCGCACGUCAUCGCAUGAUGGUGUGUGAAAAAACUCCGGUGGUAUGAGAUGGACCCGCGUCUGAUUAGGUAGUUGGUGGGGUAACGGCCCACCAAGCCGACGAUCAGUAGCCGACCUGAGAGGGUGACCGGCCACAUUGGGACUGAGACACGGCCCAA
rnacentral:rRNA from 1 species